GCAGUUGUUAUUUGUCCAAGCACUGCGCUAGGCUCUGGAGAUACACAUACAAAGAAUGAAGCAAUCCCUCCUUGGAAAGAGUGACAUUCUCAUCUUCCUGCACUGUGCUCCUCAGUGAAAGCAAAGGGCUUUCUCUGAUGUGCCAAAAACUCUGCAAUAUGCUUGGAUAAGGCCACUUUCAAGUGAAUUUUCUCUCCUCACCUUCAGCUCUAUCCCAUGCCUAUCCAGUGCAGGCUUGUCCAGGUUCUGCCCCGCAGCAAUCGGUGAGAGCCAGAAGAAUAACAGCUGUGGGAAGCUGACUUUUAGGACCUUGCCACCAUUUCCCAAGGGCCAAGGAAGGAAGUCAAGAAGGCUUGUGGGUAUAGCAGCAGGAGACAUAAGCCAAACCCUAUAAUCAUCAUCGUGCAGGGAGCAGAGUGUGCACACUUUCAGUAACGGUUUCAUCAUCCAGGAGACAGUGAGGAGCUCUCUUCUUUGGAUGAAGGCAGGGAAGAAGACAAGAAGACAUCAAGAAGCAGAAGAGG